CAUGUCCGGCGCGGUCGGCGUGCAAUUCUCCCCUAGUAGGACGUCGCGACCCGCUGGGUGUCGACCGACGGCCCGCGAGGUAGCCUGGAGCGUCGUGCGUUCNCGUGCGCGUUCCAGACCCGCGAGUGCCCGGCUCGACUGCCCGGCGGUAGUGAUCGAUGAAUGGUAUGGGGUCGCACGCUCUAUUGCGAUGCGUUUUGGCCCGUCCACAGACUGACCCCGCUUGGCCUACGGACCUGGUGCCNUUGCCGAGCGCUCGGUCGGUCNCAUUCUACGGCGUCCUCGAACGGGCCCUGCUUUAAAACAUACCUGUCGGCGACGCUACUGCUUUGGGUACUUUCAGGACCCNUCUUGAAACACGGACCAAGGAGUCUAACAUGUGCGCGAGUCAUUGGGACUGGAAACAAAGCCUACAGGCGCNAUGAAAGUGAAGGUCCGCUUUACGCGCGACCGAGGGAGGAUGGCUCCCGCCACGACGCGGAGUCCGCACUCCCGGGGCGUCUCGUGCUCAUCACGAGCUGAGGCGCACCCAGAGCGUACACGUUGGGACCCGAAAGAUGGUGAACUAUGCCUGGUCAGGACGAAGUCAGGGGAAACCCUGAUGGAGGUCCGUAGCGAUUCUGACGUGCAAAUCGAUCGUCGGAACUGGGUAUAGGGGCGAAAGACUAAUCGAAC
rnacentral:rRNA from 1 species